UACGAAGGGGGCUAGCGUUGCUCGGAUUGACUGGGCGUAAAGGGCGCGUAGGCGGUUCGUACAGUCAGACGUGAAAUUCCUGGGCUCAACCUGGGGGCUGCGUUUGAUACGUGCGGACUUGAGUGCGGAAGAGGGUCGUGGAAUUCCCAGUGUAGAGGUGAAAUUCGUAGAUAUUGGGAAGAACACCGGUGGCGAAGGCGGCGACCUGGUCCGAUACUGACGCUGAGGCGCGAGAGCGUGGGGAGCAAACCGG
rnacentral:rRNA from 1 species